AUGGCGCCUUCGGCGCCCCCUACUCCCGUUGAGUCUGCAGCCCCGUCAGUUAGCGCGGCGCACGCAACUGACCCUAGCUCCUUGACGGCCUCGACUGUCAUCCCGACGGGCUCUUGUUCGUCCUCACCCUCGGUAGAUCCACCCUCGCUGGCCCCACCGACACGCAUGGUCACCCGUGCUCGCGCUGGCAUCCAGUGCCCCAACACGCGCUACUCCGCAGACGAGUAUCUUCUCGCUGCCUCGACUUCUGCACCGUCCCCUCUCCAGUCGUCAACUCGAGCCGUGCUUCGCGAUCCGCACUGGCUCGCCACGAUGCAGGAGGAGUUUGACGCGCUCUUGCGUCAUGUAACGCCCUGGAUUCGAUGCGCCAGGUGUCUUCGAGUUAUUCGUCGUUGUUGCCAUGUCAUUUGCUUGCGUGUUGCAUUUUGCCAUGUCAUCAUCCGCAUUGCAUCCUCAUAUUUUUAA
rnacentral:rRNA from 1 species